rnacentral:rRNA from 1 species
AUACAUGCAGUCGAACGGUGUCUUCGGACAUAGUGGCGCACGGGUGCGUAACACGUAUGCAACCUACCUUACAUUGGGGGAUAGCCUUUCGAAAGGGAGAUUAAUACCGCAUAAGACAGUAAAUGGGCAUCCAUUAGCUGUUAAAGAUUUAUCGAUGUAAGUUGGGCAUGCGACCAAUUAGUUAGUUGGCGAGGUAAUGGCUCACCAAGACUAUGAUUGGUAGGGGAACUGAGAGGUCAAUCCCCCACACUGGCACUGAGAUACGGGCCAGACUCCUACGGGAGGCAGCAGUAGGGAAUAUUGGGCAAUGGACGCAAGUCUGACCCAGCCAUGCCGCGUGCAGGAUGAAGGCGUUAUGCGUCGUAAACUGCUUUUAUACAGGAAGAAACGACUCUUGCGAGAGGCAUUGACGGUACUGUAUGAAUAAGCACCGGCUAACUCCGUGCCAGCAGCCGCGGUAAUACGGAGGGUGCAAGCGUUGUCCGGAUUUAUUGGGUUUAAAGGGUGCGCAGGUGGUUUAUUAAGUCAGUGGUGAAAGACGGUCGCUCAACGAUUGCAGUGCCAUUGAAACUAGUAGACUUGAGUAAAGUAGAGGUGGGCGGAAUUGAUAGUGUAGCGGUGAAAUGCAUAGAUAUUAUCAAGAACUCCAAUUGCGAAGGCAGCUCACUUGGCUUUUACUGACACUCAUGCACGAAAGUGUGGGUAUCAAACAGGAUUAGAUACCCUGGUAGUCCACACUGUAAACGAUGAUAACUAGGUGUCGGCCGAAUCUGGUCGGUGCCACAGCGAAAGCGUUAAGUUAUCCACCUGGGGAGUACGCCGGCAACGGUGAAACUCAAAGGAAUUGACGGGGUCCGCACAAGCGUGAGCAUGUGGUUUANUCGAUGAUACGCGAG